UACGUAGGGUGCAAGCGUUAAUCGGAAUUACUGGGCGUAAAGCGUGCGCAGGCGGUUAUGUAAGACAGGUGUGAAAUCCCCGGGCUUAACCUGGGAACUGCAUUUGUGACUGCAUAGCUAGAGUACGGUAGAGGGGGAUGGAAUUCCGCGUGUAGCAGUGAAAUGCGUAGAUAUGCGGAGGAACACCGAUGGCGAAGGCAAUCCCCUGGACCUGUACUGACGCUCAUGCACGAAAGCGUGGGGGAGCAAACGAGGAUUACAG
rnacentral:rRNA from 1 species